rnacentral:rRNA from 1 species
GACGAACGCUGGCGGCGUGCUUAACACAUGCAAGUCGAACGGUGAUCAGGGAGCUUGCUCCUUGUGAUCAGUGGCGAACGGGUGGGUAACACGUGAGUAACCUGCCCCAGACUCUGGGAUAACCCCGGGAAACCGGAGCUAAUACCGAAUAUGACCAUCCCAGGCAUCUGGUGGUGGUGGAAAGUUCCGGCGGUGAAGGAUGAGCUCGCGGCCUAUCAGCUUGUUGGUGAGGUAAUGGCUCACCAAGGCUUCGACGGGUAGCCGGCCUGAGAGGGUGACCGGCCACACUGGGACUGAGACACGGCCCAGACUCCUACGGGAGGCAGCAGUGGGGAAUAUUGGACAAUGGGCGAAAGCCUGAUCCAGCAACGCCGCGUGAGGGAUGACGGCCUUCGGGUUGUAAACCUCUUUCAGUGGGGACGAAGCGCAAGUGACGGUACCCACAAAAGAAGCACCGGCCAACUACGUGCCAGCAGCCGCGGUAAUACGUAGGGUGCGAGCGUUGUCCGGAAUUAUUGGGCGUAAAGGGCUCGUAGGCGGUUUGUUGCGUCGGGAGUGAAAACUCAGGGCUUAACCCUGAGCCUGCUUCCGAUACGGGCAGACUAGAGGUAUGCAGGGGAGAACGGAAUUCCUGGUGUAGCGGUGAAAUGCGCAGAUAUCAGAGGAACACCGGUGGCGAANGCGGUUCUCUGGGCAUUACCUGACGCUGAGGAGCGAAAGUGUGGGGAGCGAACAGGAUUAGAUACCCUGGUAGUCCACACCGUAACGUUGGGCGCUAGUGUGGGACUCAUUCCACGAGCUCCGUGCCGCAGCUACGCAUUAAGCGCCCGCCUGGGGAGUACGGCGCAGGCUAA